AUACUUACCUGGCGUAGGGCUUACUGUGAUCAUUAAGGCGGUUCCUCCAGGAUGAGGCCCUUUCAUUACACUACGGUUGGGCUGACUCUUGCAAUUAUACCUAAUGUGGAUAACUCCGGCGCGGUAUUUUUGGUAGUCGGGACUGCGUACGCGCUGACCCGAA